rnacentral:rRNA from 1 species
UACGUAGGGUGCGAGCGUUGUCCGGAUUUAUUGGGCGUAAAGAGCUCGUAGGCGGCUUGUCGCGUCGACCGUGAAAACUCGCAGCUCAACUGCGAGCCUGCGGUCGAUACGGGCAGGCUAGAGUCCGGUAGGGGAGUGUGGAAUUCCCGGUGUAGCGGUGAAAUGCGUAGAUAUCGAGAGGAACACCUGCGGCGAAGGCGGGUUGCUGGGCUGAUACUGACGCUGAGGUGCGAAAGCGUGGGGAGCAAACAGG